ACACUGGGACUGAGACACGGCCCAGACUCCUACGGGAGGCAGCAGUGGGGAAUAUUGCACAAUGGGCGCAAGCCUGAUGCAGCCAUGCCGCGUGUAUGAAGAAGGCCUUAGGGUUGUAAAGUACUUUCAGUCGGGAGGAAGGCGUUGGAGCUAAUACGCUCAGCGAUUGACGUUACCGACAGAAGAAGCACCGGCUAACU
rnacentral:rRNA from 1 species